UACGUAGGACGCAAGCGUUGUCCGGAAUUAUUGGGCGUAAAGAGCUCGUAGGCGGUUUGUCACGUCUGCUGUGAAAACCCGAGGCUUAACCUCGGGCCUGCAGUGGGUACGGGCAGACUAGAGUGUGGUAGGGGAGACCGGAAUUCCUGGUGCAGCGGUGGAAUGCGCAGAUAUCAGGAGGAACACCGAUGGCGAAGGCAGGUCUCUGGGCCACAACUGACGCUGAGGAGCGAAAGCGUGGGGAGCGAACAGG
rnacentral:rRNA from 1 species